rnacentral:sRNA from 2 species
UUACACAAAUUGCCGAAUUUCCGCUUUCGCGGAAAACGGGGGAACCAGUUUUUCGGGUGAAUUGAUUUCGCGACUAUAGGACUAUCUAUAGGUUCGUAGGAAUCAUAGGGCAUACCUUCGACCGAACCCUCCAGCUAACCUCGUAGGCAUCGGAAGGAGCUUCU